AGAUGGCCCUGGAGACGGUGCUGAAGGACCUGUGGCAUCUGUGGGCCUGUUUGCUGUGUUCACUGGUCAAGGUACUAUAGACCAGUUUGAAUAUGAUGGUUGUGACUAUUGAGAUGCAUAUCUACAGAUGAAGGGUAACUGAGAGAUGCUAUAUGGCUGCACCAGCUCCUCCUUUGAUGGAAUCAUUGCGAUGAUGAGUCCAGAGGACAGCUGGGUCUCCAACUGGCAGCGAGUCAAUAACUUUAAGCCAGGUGUAUAUGCGGUGUCAACCACUGGUCGCUUGCCCUAAGGAAUCGUGCGGGAGCUGAAAAGUUGAGGAGUGGCCUACAAAUCCAAAGACACAGCUAUAAAGA
rnacentral:lncRNA from 1 species